GGGCUCCGGGUCCCCCCCCUUUCCCUGAGGGGCAUUUUUGGGGGGCUUCAGAUCCCCCCCCCUCCUUGGGGGGCAUUUUUGGGUAACUGCAGCCCCCCCCUAUAGAUGGCACUGCCCCAUUCGGAGCCCCCCCCGCACCCCCACCCCCCCCGGCGCCGCUUUUCCCUUUGGGUUUUCCAGUUGUGCCUUAACCGGGGAGCAGCGCUCAGUGGGACACCAAUGGGACCCCCCGUGUGACACCGAGGGGACACCAAUGGGACCCCAAUGGGACACCGGGACCCCCAGUGUGACACCAAUGGGACCCCAGUGAGACCCCCUGUGUGACACCAAGGGGACACCAAUGGGACACCAACGGGACCCCAGUGAGACCCCCAGUGUGACACCAAUGGGACCCCAAUGGGACCCCCCGUGUGACUCCAAUGGGACACCAACGGGACACCAAUGGGACACCGGGACCCCCAGUGUGACACCAAUGGGACCCCAGUGAGACCCCCAGUGUGACACCGAGGGGACACCGAGGGGACACCGGGACCCCCAGUGUGACUCCAAUGGGACACCAAUGGGACACCAAUGGGACCCCAGUGAGACCCCCAGUGUGACUCCAAUGGGACCCCAGUGAGACCCCCAGUGUGACUCCAAUGGGACACCAACGGGACACCGGGACCGCCAGUGUGAUACCAGUGGGACCCCAGUGAGACCCCCAGUGUGACACCGAGGGGACACCGAGGGGACCCCAAUGGGACCCCAGUGUGACUCCAAGGGGACACCAAUGGUUCCCCCAGUGUGACACCGAGGAGACACCAAUGGAACACCAAGAAGACACCAAUGGGACCCCCAGUGUGACACCAGUGGGACACCAAUGGGACACCAAUGGGACACCAAUGGGACACUGGGACCCAAAGUGUGACACCGAGAGGACCCCCAGUGUGACACCAAUGGGACACCAAUGGGACA
rnacentral:lncRNA from 1 species